UGCUAAGUUGUCAUAUUUUACACACAAUUAAUAAUAUAAUAUAAAACAUAGUCACUAUUCUAAAAAUUGAAAUUACAUAAAACAUCAAUUCUGGAUUCCUCAUGUCUAUUUUCUGAUUAAAUUGCCUGAAAUUGAUGAGAACACAAAGGAAUUAACAUCAAUAGAGAGUAUCUCAAAUACCAAAUGAACUGCAGGAAAUACUAAGUGACCUGAAGACAGAAAAUAGGACUGCAAAUAAACGCUGAGAAGACAAUGUGUAAUGUUCAGUAUAGAAGUAAACCCACAGCUAGUGACAGUAGAAGGCCAGACAAUUGGAAGGAUGGAAGAAUACAAGUAUUUAGGACAAGUAAUCACAACACGAGAACAGAUGAGAGAAAUUCAUCAUAGGAUGUAUUUGGGAUGGCGUGCAUGUGGCCAAUACACAUGCAUGUCAUCCCUGGUAUCUUAUUGUCCUUUAGGAAGUUCCUAAGGGACAAUAAGAUACAAUAUGCCUUAAAAGGAAACUCUUCAACAUAUGCAUACUACCAGUAAUGAUGUUUGUCUGGAAACAUGGACCCUUACAAAGAAAAUUGAAAAGAA
rnacentral:lncRNA from 1 species